CCCCUAUCAGGUUUGCACCUGGAGAAUUUCCAGUACUCUACCAGUCUUGGGUAUGGGAGGGAGAGUCAAGUAGAGGCAUAUCCAUUCCAUUCCUAGCUUACGCAGUGGCUAGUGAAUGGAAGGCAAUCUGCAACAAAU